UGACGGUAUCAUAUGAGUAAGCACCGGCUAACUCCGUGCCAGCAGCCGCGGUAAUACGGGGGGUGCAAGCGUUACUCGGAAUCACUGGGCGUAAAGAGCAUGUAGGCGGGUGAAUAAGUUGGAAGUGAAAUCCUAUAGCUUAACUAUAGAACUGCUUCCAAAACUGUUCACCUAGAGUAUGGGAGAGGUAGAUGGAAUUUCUGGUGUAGGGGUAAAAUCCGUAGAGAUCAGAAGGAAUACCGAUUGCGAAGGCGAUCUACUGGAACAUUACUGACGCUCAGAUGCGAAAGCGUGGGGAGCAAACAGGAUUAGAUACCCUGGUAGUCCACGCCCUAAACGAUGUACACUAGUUGUUGCUAUACUAGAUAUGGCAGUAAUGCAGUUAACACUUUAAGUGUACCGCCUGGGGAGUACGGUCGCAAGAUUAAAACUCAAAGGAAUAGACGGGGACCCGCACAAGCGGUGGAGCAUGUGGUUUAAUUCGACGAUACGCGAAAAACCUUACCUGGCCUUGACAUAGUAGGAAUCUUUAAGAGAUUAGAGAGUGCUAGCUUGCUAGAACCUACAUACAGGUGCUGCACGGCUGUCGUCAGC
rnacentral:rRNA from 1 species